rnacentral:sRNA from 12 species
CUUUGAGAAAGGAUUUAUGUUGACCGCUGUGAAGAGGGAUUACAUCUCUGCAGCGAAGUUAGCCAUAAUAAUGCGAUAAAGCCAUGGGAUACUGUGGCCCAAGCUAAGACUUAUAUUGAAAAAUAUGAGUUUCCCUGAUACCAUCAGGCUAGGCUAACUGUGCAACAUGCUAUGGUACACAAAAACAACUUAGCUGGUUCGUCCGACAAGAAGCUCUAAUCGUAAGAUUAUCUCACCAGUGGUAUUAAGCCUGAGAAACUUGAUGCCCGGUAACUCACAGGAAGGAUUGUGUCUUGAAGCUACGGAAGUAGUGUAUAAGAACCAGGAAUAAGGUAUGAGUAGCCGUGUGACACACAAGCACAAAAGGUUAUAACGUUCGACUCGUUACUCGAAAAAGUUAAUUUGCUGACGUUCGGUGAAAGUUGAAGAGCACUAAAUCUCUUCUGUUGUUCGUUGGGGUUCGCCCCUUCAAUUUGAGAAGCCUCUGGGUCGCUCCCUCUGGUUCAGCCUCAAGUUAAUAUGUGUGAAUAUUGUGGAAUAGUAAAUGUUGUAAGAUGAAUAAAAGUCUCAUAUAGAUCAUUUCUCAA